ensembl:snoRNA
AGCCUCAUUCUAGAUGAGAAUGCUCACUGUUGAUUAGUGUCCAAAGUUGGUCAAUGUGGCUAAACUGACACAGUUUCUGCGUUCACCACAGUGUAUGUAUUGCAGUGGUGACAGUGAGACUGUAAUAUUU